ACUCCUACAACGGACGGGCUCCAGCAGUCGGAUUUCUACAACGACCGACCGCCUCUAGUGUCUUCCGCACCUCUCCAGCCAUCAACCUUCAACAGCGCCAGCCGGACUUCCACAGAAUCCUCCAGACUCCUCCAGCGGACGAACUUCCAUAACUCCUUCCGGACUCUUCUAUCAGCCGAUCUUCAGUCGGAUUCCUUAUGCAAUCGGACUUCUCCAGCAGACAACUCUUCAGACAAGCUUCUACAUCAUACAA
rnacentral:lncRNA from 1 species